rnacentral:rRNA from 1 species
GACUCCCAGUGUAGAUGGUCUAACGACCGUCGACUUUUAUGAAGUGUAAAAAGCUUCAGGUAAUAAGGGCCGGGUAAGACUGGUGCCAGCCGCCCCGGUAACACCAGCGGCCCGAGUGGUAACCGAUUUUAUUGGGCCUAAAGCGUCCGUAGCCGGAUUGGCAAGUCCCUUGUGAAAUCGGACGGCUUAACCGUUCGGCGUGCAAGGUAGACUGUCAGUCUUGAGGUUGGUAGGCGUCGAGGGUACUCCGGGGGUAGCGGUGAAAUGCUAUAAUCCCCGGGGGACCCCCAGUGGCGAAAGCGCUCGGCGAGACCAAACCCGACGGUGAGGGACGAAGGCCAGAGGAGCAAACCGGAUUAGAUACCCGGGUAGUUCUGGCUGUAAAGGAUGUGGGCUAGGUGCCUGUCGUUCCUCGAGAACGUUAGGUGCCGAAGGGAAGCCGUUAAGCUCACCGCCUGGGAAGUACGGCCGCAAGGCUGAAACUUAAAGGAAUUGGCGGG